rnacentral:rRNA from 1 species
GACGAACGCUGGCGGCGUGCUUAACACAUGCAAGUCGAACGGAAAGGCCCCUUUGGGGGUCCUCGAGUGGCGAACGGGGGAGUAACACGUGAGUAACCUGCCCUUGACUUCGGGAUAACUUCAUGAAACUGGGGCUAAUACCGGGUAGGAAUCCUUGCUGCAUGGUGGGGGUUGGAGAGCUUCGGCGGGUUUGGGUGGACUCGCGGCUUAUCAGCUUGUUGGUGGGGUAGUGGCUUACCCAGGCUUUGACGGGUAGCCGGGCCGGGAGGGCGAACGGGCCCCUUGGGGCCUGGGUACGGGCCCGGCUCCUACGGGAGGCCGGCGUGGGGGAUAUUGCACCAAGGGCGGCAGCCCGAUGCAGCAACGCCGCGUGCGGGAUGGCCGGCUUCGGGUUGGAAACCGCCUUCAGCAGGGGCGAAGCUUGUGGUGACGGUACCUGCAGAAGAAGCACCGGCUAACUACGUG